UCCCUGGUAGUCUAGCGUUAAGGACUCAGCACUCCCAAUGCAGGAGGCCAAGUUAGAUCCCUGGUCAGGGCA
rnacentral:tRNA from 1 species